rnacentral:lncRNA from 1 species
CCGGUAGGGUUCCCUACGGACCCGGUCCGUCCACCAUCUCCCAGGAUAUCUAGUCAGGCUGACCCCAUCAUACAAUUAUCAGUCUAUACAAUGUUUCAUUUCCCUUUUUCCUCAAUAAGCAUCAUCAAUUCACAUUUAAACAAGCAAAUCGUAAUUCAUGCCGAACAGACAACAUACAGUAUCAGUUCUUCAGUCAUUCAACCCAUAAUUAAUAAAACAGUAAUAUAUGCAUUCGAAACUAUAAAAUGAACACAUCAAACCCCAUAAUGCAUUUAAAGCUGUAAAACAGUGUAAAACAUGCCAAAUAACAGUAAAUCAUUAAUCACACUAGACUCGGGCUCCAUUGGCAACCUUAAGCAAUUUCACACAUGCGUUAAUUCAAGAAAUACCGUUUUAUCAUUUUGAACUUUAAUACCGUGAUAGGAAAUAGGGUGAGGGGUCCUUACUUGUUUUCGAGAUCCGAAUACGAUUCACAGUGCGCCUGCAGGCUGUCCCUAAUUUUCCCUGAAUUUUUUCCGGGGAACUGAAACACGCUAACAGUACCUGCACGUGUUCCAAAAAAAAAUCCAAAUUAGGCCCAGGGCCUCUUUCGGC